GGCAGCGUCAUGAAGAGGUUAGCAGGCACUGUGCUGGGGCUUUUGUUUGCCCAGGUUUGCUGUGUGCAAGGGCUGGAUGUGGCGCAGAGUCCCCCAGCCCUGAGUCUCCAGGAGGGAGCCAGCCACGUGCUGAGGUGCAAUUUUUCUGCCUCUGUGAACAAUGUACAGUGGUAUCUUCAGAACCCCAGCGGCCGCCUCAUUCACCUAAUUUACAUUCCUUCAGGAACAAAGCAGGAUGGAAGAUUAAAUGCCACAACAAUCCCUACAGAGCGCCGCAGCUCACUGCACAUUUCCUCUUCGCAGACCACAGACUCGGGCACUUACUUCUGUGCUGUGCAGUACAGUGCUCCCCAGGCACCUGCAGCCUCUACACAAACCCUCUGCGGGGCUCAGCCCCUCUCCAGGCACAGUCACACCGUGAAGCCACCACAGGGCAUUUGCAGUGUUGAUUAUUUCUUACCUACACUGGUACAGUUUUAA